rnacentral:tRNA from 1 species
GGGCUGAUACUCAAGUUGGUUAAGAGGGCACCCUGCUAAGGUGUUAGGUCGAUUUUCGGCGCAAGGGUUCGAACCCCUUUCAGUCCGCCA